rnacentral:miRNA from 1 species
CGCUAUCUCACUCUACCCAAGG